rnacentral:rRNA from 1 species
UACGGGAGGCAGCAGUGGGGAAUAUUGGGCAAUGGGCGAAAGCCUGACCCAGCAACGCCGCGUGAAGGAAGAAGGUUUUCGGAUUGUAAACUUCUGUCCUAUGUGAAGAGAAAGAGACGGUAGCAUAGGAGGAAGCCCCGGCUAACUACGUGCCAGCAGCCGCGGUAAU